AAGUUUCUUCUUAUUUUCAGAUGAGCCAUUUGAAAACUCACAUGGCUGAAGUUGGGGUGAUCUCGGGAGGCGAUACCUUCAGACUGACGGCAGGAGGUCUGUACUCUAUCACAGCUUCAAUUGGUCAUGGACCGCCCAAGUUGACGUUUGACUGACUGACAUGCAAGGUAACCAAUGACCGUUUUGUUCCAUGUCAUGUUUAGGGGUGUGCAAAUGUAACAUCGAUGUGCCUACAAUAACAGACGGCGUGAAUCUAAAUUCUUCAAGAACGUGCAGGUUUACUGCAACAGUAGAGCUGCGAACCUCACAUAGUUUUGAAAAUCCAGCAAUUAGUUAAUCUUGAUGAGAUCAGAAUGACUGGAUGCCAGUAAUCCUGAUGAAAGCCAUCCUGAGGAUGAUCAUUUCUCCAAUGCUUUUGAUCUGCUGUACAGCACUCGAUGAAAAUCACUGUAUUUCUGGAAAGCGGCUUUAAUAAAAUCUGUAUAUUAAAAAGCGCUAUUUAAAUAAAGGUGACUUGACAGCAAUCUCUUUAAUUUGUUUCCAACUAUUUUUAUUACUAUUUAUGUUUAUGAAAUA